rfam:Oryza glaberrima chromosome 4 Oglab04_0221_38, whole genome shotgun sequence.
AAAAAGGCAAACCCUGAAUUUUCGUGUCCAACUUUGACUGUCUGUCUCAUAUGAAAUUUUUUUAUAAUUCGUAUUUUCAUUGUUGUUAGAUGAUAAAACAUGAUUAAUAUUUUAUGCGUGACUUGUCUUUUUAAUUUUUUCAUAAUUUUUUCAAAUAAGACGGACGGUCAAACGUUGGGCACGGAAACC